rnacentral:rRNA from 1 species
UACAGAGGGUGCAAGCGUUAUUCGGAAUUACUGGGCGUAAAGCGCACGUAGGUGGUUUUGUAAGUCUGAUGUGAAAUCCCUGGACUCAAUCCGGGAAGUGCAUUGGAUACUGCUAAACUAGAGUACAGGAGAGGUAAGCGGAAUUCCAGGUGUAGAGGUGAAAUUCGUAGAUAUCUGGAGGAACAACAGAGGCGAAGGCGGCUUACUGGACUGUAACUGACACUGAGGUGCGAAAGCGUGGGGAGCAAACAGG